ACGUGCCCAGUCGUGGGGGAUAACGUAGCGAAAGUUACGCUAAUACCGCAUACGAUCUACGGAUGAAAGCGGGGGAUCGCAAGACCUCGCGCGAUUGGAGCGGCCGAUAUCAGAUUAGGUAGUUGGUGGGGUAAAGGCUCACCAAGCCAACGAUCUGUAACUGGUCUGAGAGGACGACCAGCCACACUGGAACUGAGACACGGUCCAGACUCCUACGGGAGGCAGCAGUGGGGAAUUUUGGACAAUGGACGCAAGUCUGAUCCAGCCAUUCCGCGUGCAGGAUGAAGGCCCUCGGGUUGUAAACUGCUUUUGUACGGAACGAAAAGGUUUCCAUUAAUACUGGGAGCUCAUGACGGUACCGUAAGAAUAAGCACCGGCUAACUACGUGCCAGCAGCCGCGGUAAUACGUAGGGUGCAAGCGUUAAUCGGAAUUACUGGGCGUAAAGCGUGCGCAGGCGGUGAUGUAAGACAGGCGUGAAAUCCCCGGGCUCAACCUGGGAAUUGCGCUUGUGACUGCAUCGCUGGAGUGCGGCAGAGGGGGAUGGAAUUCCGCGUGUAGCAGUGAAAUGCGUAGAUAUGCGGAGGAACACCGAUGGCGAAGGCAAUCCCCUGGGCCUGCACUGACGCUCAUGCACGAAAGCGUGGGGAGCAAACAGGAUUAGAUACCCUGGUAGUCCACGCCCUAAACGAUGUCAACUGGUUGUUGGGUAUUUACUUACU
rnacentral:rRNA from 1 species